AAUAAACCGUGGACGCUCAUGUUGCCCAGGCCUCUUUGGCACGUAUAUCCUGUGCGCGCGUUCAAUGCGAAGCUCUGCGGUAACACCAAGUUGUUCCCGAAUCAGAUUCGACACAAAGUCAAUCAUAUUAUUUCCCUCACUUUUCUCGGGCACUGAGUAAAUCCUGAUGUUGUUCCUUCUUGAGCGAGAAGGGUAUUCCUGCACAACCGGAGGCUGCAGUUUCAAGACCGCAGUUCUAGGACCGCAGUUCUAGGACCCUAGUUUUUUUGUGACAGCGCCACCUACUGUACUGGAUCAACACUAAUUAAAGAUGGACGACGUGGACCGCAAUCAGACGAUGCAUAUAACAAUCCAAAAAGGGAGAUCCCUGCCCGAAUUGAAGAGAUGCACCACAUGCUGCAAGGACUUUCACUGCCCGUUCUGUAGUUCAGCUUUGUUCCACCCAUCAAAGUUGAGCAAGAUCAGAACCCAUUUAGAGAGCCAUUUCAAUCGUGCAGUUAUCCAUGAAGGGUAUACCAUUCACAGAUGUGGGUUACAUUGCCAACCACAGUUGCAUUACCACUGUAUCCACUGCCAGUCAAUGCUGUUACGUAAAUCUGAUUUCAUUAAACA